rnacentral:rRNA from 1 species
AGCAGCCGCGGUAAUUCCAGCUCCAAUAGCGUAUAUUAAAGUUGUUGCAGUUAAAAAGCUCGUAGUUGAAUUUCGAGAUCAAAUUGUUGGUCGUGCCUUGGUACGCACUGGCAUUAUUGGUUUCUCCCUUCUGAAGAACCAUGAUGUCAUUAAUUUGGUGUCAUGGGGAAUCAGGACUGUUACUUUGAAAAAUUGAGUGUUUAAAGCAGGCUCGCGCUUGAAUACAUUAGCAUGGAAUAAUGAAAUAGGACGUUUGAUUCUAUUUGUUGUUUCUAGGAUCGACGUAAUGAUUAAUAGGGAUAGUUGGGGCAUUAGAUUCAAUUGUCAG